rnacentral:rRNA from 1 species
AGAGUUUGAUCCUGGCUCAGAUUGAACGCUGGCGGCAGGCUUAACACAUGCAAGUCGAGCGGGGAAAAGUAGCUUGCUACUUAACCUAGCGGCGGACGGGUGAGUAAUGCUUAGGAAUCUGCCUAUUAGUGGGGGACAACAUCUCGAAAGGGAUGCUAAUACCGCAUACGUCCUACGGGAGAAAGCAGGGGACCUUCGGGCCUUGCGCUAAUAGAUGAGCCUAAGUCGGAUUAGCUAGUUGGUGGGGUAAAGGCCUACCAAGGCGACGAUCUGUAGCGGGUCUGAGAGGAUGAUCCGCCACACUGGGACUGAGACACGGCCCAGACUCCUACGGGAGGCAGCAGUGGGGAAUAUUGGACAAUGGGGGGAACCCUGAUCCAGCCAUGCCGCGUGUGUGAAGAAGGCCUUUUGGUUGUAAAGCACUUUAAGCGAGGAGGAGGCUACCGAGAUUAAUACUCUUGGAUAGUGGACGUUACUCGCAGAAUAAGCACCGGCUAACUCUGUGCCAGCAGCCGCGGUAAU